rnacentral:rRNA from 1 species
UAGGGAAUCUUCGGCAAUGGGGGGAACCCUGACCGAGCAACGCCGCGUGAGUGAAGAAGGUUUUCGGAUCGUAAAGCUCUGUUGUUAAGGAAGAACGAGUGUGAGAAUGGAAAGUUCAUGCUGUGACGGUACUUAACCAGAAAGGGACGGCUAACUACGUGCCAGCAGCCGCGGUAAUACGUAGGUCCCGAGCGUUGUCCGGAUUUAUUGGGCGUAAAGGGUACGCAGGCGGUUUAAUAAGUCGAAUGUUAAAGAUCGGGGCUCAACCCCGUAAAGCAUUGGAAACUGAUAAACUUGAGUAGUGGAGAGGAAAGUGGAAUUCCUAGUGUAGUGGUGAAAUACGUAGAUAUUAGGAGGAAUACCAGUAGCGAAGGCGACUUUCUGGACACAAACUGACGCUGAGGUACGAAAGCGUGGGGAGCAAACAGG